rnacentral:rRNA from 1 species
UGGGGAAGUAUUGGGCAAUGGGCGCAAGCCUGACCCAGCAACGCCGCGUGAAGGAAGAAGGCUUUCGGGUUGUAAACUUCUUUUCUCAGGGACGAAGCAAGUGACGGUACCUGAGGAAUAAGCCACGGCUAACUACGUGCC